rnacentral:rRNA from 1 species
GACGAACGCUGGCGGCGUGCCUAAUACAUGCAAGUCGCACGAAGCGGCGGAUGGGUGAGUAACGAGUGGGUAACCUGCCCUUAAGUCUGGGAUACCAUUUGGAAACAGAUGCUAAUACCGGAUACUCAUGGAUGGACCUGCGAUGCAUUAGCUAGUUGGUAAGGUAACGGCGUACCAAGGCGAUGAUGCAUAGCCGAGCUGAGAGUGUGAUCGGCCACACUGGGACUGAGACACGGCCCAGACUCCUACGGGAGGCAGCAGUAGGGAAUCUUCCACAAUGGGCGAAAGUCUGAUGGAGCAAUGCCGCGUGAGUGAAGAAGGCUUUCGGAUCGUAAAGCUCUUUUGUUAGUGAAGCGGUAAUCAACCAGAAAGUCACGGCUAACUACGUGCCAGCCGCCGCGGUAAUUC